GAUGAACGCUGGCGGCGUGCCUAAUACAUGCGAGUCGAGCGAACGGACGAGAAGCUUGCUUCUCUGAUGUUAGCGGCGGACGGGUGAGUAACACGUGGAUAACCUACCUAUAAGACUGGGAUAACUUCGGGAAACCGGAGCUAAUACCGGAUAAUAUUUUGAACCGCAUGGUUCAAAAGUGAAAGACGGUCUUGCUGUCACUUAUAGAUGGAUCCGCGCUGCAUUAGCUAGUUGGUAAGGUAACGGCUUACCAAGGCAACGAUGCAUAGCCGACCUGAGAGGGUGAUCGGACACACUGGAACUGAGACACGGUCCAGACUCCUACGGGAGGCAGCAGUAGGGAAUCUUCCGCAAUGGGCGAAAGCCUGACGGAGCAACGCCGCGUGAGUGAUGAAGGUCUUCGGAUCGUAAAACUCUGUUAUUAGGGAAGAACAUAUGUGUAAGUAACUGUGCACAUCUUGACGGUACCUAAUCAGAAAGCCACGGCUAACUACGUG
rnacentral:rRNA from 1 species